AAAUAAACCUGAUAGCAGUGGAAAUGUUUUUAUUGAUCUUCGACAAGCUCAGACUGACAAUAAAAAUGUUGCAACGAAUAGCGGGACUGCAG
rnacentral:sRNA from 1 species